rnacentral:rRNA from 1 species
CCUACGGGAGGCAGCAGUAGGGAAUCUUGCGCAAUGGGCGAAAGCCUGACGCAGCCAUGCCGCGUGAAUGAUGGAGGUCUUAGGAUUGUAAAAUUCUUUCACCGGGGACGAUAAUGACGGUACCCGGAGAAGAAGCCCCGGCUAACUUCGUGCCAGCAGCCGCGGUAAUACGAAGGGGGCUAGCGUUGCUCGGAAUUACUGGGCGUAAAGGGAGCGUAGGCGGAUAGUUUAGUCAGAGGUGAAAGCCCAGGGCUCAACCUUGGAACUGCCUUUGAUACUGGCUAUCUUGAGUAUGGGAGAGGUGAGUGGAACUCCGAGUGUAGAGGUGAAAUUCGUAGAUAUUCGGAAGAACACCAGUGGCGAAGGCGACUCACUGGCCCAUUACUGACGCUGAGGCUCGAAAGCGUGGGGAGCAAACAGGAUUAGAUACCCUGGUAGUCCACGCCGUAAACGAUGAGUGCUAGUUGUCGGCAUGCAUGCAUGUCGGUGACGCAGCUACGCAUAGCACUCCGCCGUCGGGAGGUACGGUCGCGAAGAAUUAAACUACGAAAGAAGUAGACGGCGUGAGACGUGCCGAACGGACGACGACGACGGGAGGAGG